CAGCAGCAGCCGCGGGAAUACGUAGGUCCCGAGCGUUGUCCGGAUUUAUUGGGCGUAAAGCGAGCGCAGGCGGUUAGAUAAGUCUGAAGUUAAAGGCUGUGGCUUAACCAUAGUACGCUUUGGAAACUGUUUAACUUGAGUGCAAGAGGGGAGAGUGGAAUUCCAUGUGUAGCGGUGAAAUGCGUAGAUAUAUGGAGGAACACCGGUGGCGAAAGCGGCUCUCUGGCUUGUAACUGACGCUGAGGGGCGAAAGCGUGGGGAGCGAACAGGAUUAGAUACCCCCGUAGUCCCUGUCUCUUAUACA
rnacentral:rRNA from 1 species